UCACUGCAGAUGCGGGGCGGCACUGAGAGGAUUUAAGGGCCGGAAUUUAAGGGUGCGCAGUGCUCGUGCGUGGGCACAGUGCUGACGCCAGGCUGGUGGGGAGUGUGAGGGGAGGACCAGCGAGGACGCUGUCUGAGCCGUGUCUGGGUUGUGACAUCCACGGGGACAGGGUGCAGAGCUCCUUCCUGGUCCCAACGUACAACAGGAGUGACGUGGCGUAGACUGCGUGGGUGAGCGUGGCCUGCAGAACCACACACGGCCGGUCACGCCGGGUGACUCCGUGGGGAUAAUAUCACCCCAGGUUAAGUGUCUUCAUCCGUGAUUGCAAACACGAGAGCCUCCUCGCGGCCAACGCAAGGACUGAGCCCAGAGCCCGGUAGACGGCGGUCAUCCAGGGGACGGCAGGGGACGGCUGCCAUCCCAUCAUCAAAGCCAGCCUGUGGGUGCCCACCUCCGCUGAGGGACAGAUAACAGCGUGCCUGCUUGCUGACGGGAAAAACCCAGUAGGAAAACAACAGAGCCAGGGAAACAAGCAGCGAUUUGUUGGAGGAACACCGUUGAGCAGGCGGGAUGAGACGGGCCUGGUGCACACGAGGGCGUCUGCUUUGUCUCGGACAAGGACAGUCAUUGCGGUCGGUCGUCAGGACGGAAGGCAGGGCUGUGGGCACAGAUGGGGACAUAGGUACCUUGUUCUGACUGCCCCGGCUCUCCGGGAGGCCAGAGGAGGGGCCGCCCGAGGACACAGCGGGAAGGCGGCAGUGGCGAGCCCAGGCGAGUCCUCACCGCGAAGCAGUCCUGAGGACACCUCGACCUUGGACCCCCAGCCGCCGGGACCGUGAGAAAACCGGUGUCCGGUGUUUCAGCUGCCUGUGUGGUGUUUGUCAGGGGGCCGGGCUACUGACUUCAGGGUGACCGCUCGGUCUGGACAACGAGGGCCCCGAGCCUGUCACUUGGACCGGUGUUCAGGUGACCUUGGUUUGAGGGGCAUCCUCGCACCCCCACCCGAAGCACCGGGGCGUCACCGUCCGCGGGCGAGUGUCGUCCACCAGCAUCUCCCGCUGCUGGACCAGGAGGGGCCACGUUCCCACCGCUACUCAAGCCGCACCCCACGCCGGCUGUGGCCACAGGGACUCCUGUGCCCCCGUCCGGGUCCGGGCUGCCAGCACCGGGGCAAGGAAUGCCCAGUAGGGACCCUGGACACUUGCACGGGAACGGGGUGUCGCCGAGCAACCUGCCACCCUUGGAGAGUUGCCACAGGGCAUCUGCAGGCGGCCCCGGAGCGGGAGGGUCGGCAGAGCGUGGCCCUGGGUUAACGCGGGGUUUGCGGUGUUGUGGACCCGACGGGCACGUUCGCUGUGAUCUUAAUCGUCCGCCCUCUGUGUCGGUCUCACGCCACCGAGGCCGAUGCCCAUGGUUUCCUCCCGCGUUCGAGGGCCGGGAGAGCCGCCGUGCGCUGGGAGGCCUGGCCUCUGCGGCUGCCACGUCGCUCGUAGCUUCUGGCAGCAGGAGCCCCGGUCAGCUGGCGUCACCCCAGCACGGCAGGAAGUCUCUCAGUGUUCGUUUUUUUCCCUCACAGACGAAAAAUCUGACUCCAGAAGGAUUUCCAGGAAUUACAGUAUAAGAACGUA